rnacentral:rRNA from 1 species
UACGGGGGGGGGCAAGCGUUGUUCGGAAUUACUGGGCGUAAAGGGCUCGUAGGCGGCCAACUAAGUCAUACGUGAAAUCCCUCGGCUUAACCGGGGAACUGCAUCCGAUACUGGAUGGCUUGAGUUCGGGAGAGGGAUGCGGAAUUCCAGGUGUAGCGGUGAAAUGCGUAGAUAUCUGGAGGAACACCGGUGGCGAAGGCGGCAUCCUGGACCGACACUGACGCUGAGGAGCGAAAGCCAGGGGAGCAAACGGG